rnacentral:rRNA from 1 species
GACGAACGCUGGCGGCGUGCCUAAUACAUGCAAGUCGAACGCUGAAGGAGGAGCUUGCUUCUCUGGAUGAGUUGCGAACGGGUGAGUAACGCGUAGGUAACCUGCCUGGUAGCGGGGGAUAACUAUUGGAAACGAUAGCUAAUACCGCAUAACAGUAGAUAUCGCAUGAUAUCUACUUGAAAGGUGCAAUUGCAUCACUACCAGAUGGACCUGCGUUGUAUUAGCUAGUUGGUGAGGUAACGGCUCACCAAGGCGACGAUACAUAGCCGACCUGAGAGGGUGAUCGGCCACACUGGGACUGAGACACGGCCCAGACUCCUACGGGAGGCAGCAGGAGGGAAUCUUCGGCAAUGGACGGAAGUCUGACCGAGCAACGCCGCGUGAGUGAAGAAGGUUUUCGGAUCGUAAAGCUCUGUUGUAAGAGAAGAACGAGUGUGAGAGUGGAAAGUUCACACUGUGACGGUAUCUUACCAGAAAGGGACGGCUAACUACGUG